rnacentral:lncRNA from 1 species
AGGACGAGGGUGCGGGGGGGGGUGUGUGUGUGUGUGUGUGUGUGUGUGUGCAUGCACGUGUGCACAUGCAUGUGUGUGUAUUUAGGGGCUCUGGGGAAAGAAGGCAGGUGGAGCAAGGCUGGGCUCACACGCUCUGCACACAACUGAGAUUUAGUUACUCGCUAAGCCUUGCCUCUCAAUUGGGAGGCUCUCGUUACCGGACCUGCUGUCCUGGCUCCGAUCUAAGGCAUCAGAACCUCGGGAGUCACAUUCACAGAAGUCUGAAAACCACAGUCCUGGAGCACAGCAGCAAGAAAACGCUUUCCAGCUGCUCUACUGUACUUGAUGGCCCGAGGAGAAGCCUCCCCCUAAGCUGCUGUCCAGGGCUGGACCUGUGCCACUGGAAACAGAAGAGCAACUUUAUCACUUGA